GUCUAUGACCAUGCAACUCUGAGACACCCCGAUCCCGUCUAGAUCUCGGAUUAUUGAGCAUGACUGAACCUGGGUAGUACUUGUAUAGGAGACCACCUACGAUUACCAUGAGCUGUAGGUG
rnacentral:rRNA from 1 species